GGUUGUGAUCAUACCAGCACUAAUGCACCGGAUCCCAUCAGAACUCCGGAGUUAAGCGUGCUUGGGCGAGAGUAGUACUAGGAUAGGUGACCCCCUGGGAAGUCCUCGUGUUGCAACCC
rnacentral:rRNA from 1 species